CGGGUGAGUAACGCGUGAGGAACCUGCCUCAAAGGGGGGGACAACAGUUGGAAACGACUGCUAAUACCGCACAAGCCCACGGCUCGGCAUCGAGCAGAGGGAAAAGGAGCAAUCCGCUUUGAGAUGGCCUCGCGUCCGAUUAGCUAGUUGGUGAGGUAACGGCCCACCAAGGCGACGAUCGGUAGCCGGACUGAGAGGUUGAACGGCCACAUUGGGACUGAGACACGGCCCAG
rnacentral:rRNA from 1 species